UACGUAGGGUGCGAGCGUUAAUCGGAAUUACUGGGCGUAAAGCGUGCGCAGGCGGUUUGUUAAGCGAGAUGUGAAAGCCCCGGGCUCAACCUGGGAACCGCAUUUCGAACUGGCAAACUAGAGUCUUGUAGAGGGGGGUAGAAUUCCAGGUGUAGCGGUGAAAUGCGUAGAGAUCUGGAGGAAUACCGGUGGCGAAGGCGGCCACCUGGUCAGAAACUGACGCUGAGGUACGAAAGCGUGGGGAGCAAACAGG
rnacentral:rRNA from 1 species